GACGAACCGUGCGAACGUUGUUCGGAUUCACUGGGCUUAAAGGGCGCGUAGGCGGACGACCAAGUCCGGGGUGAAAUCUUUCGGCUCAACCGGAAAAGUGCCUUGGAUACUGGUCGUCUCGAGGGAGGUAGGGGCAUGCGGAACUUCCGGUGGAGCGGUGAAAUGCGUAGAUAUCGGAAGGAACGCCGGUGGCGAAAGCGGCGUGCUGGACCUCUGCUGACGCUGAGGCGCGAAAGCCAGGGGAGCGAACGGG
rnacentral:rRNA from 1 species